rnacentral:rRNA from 1 species
CCUACGGGAGGCAGCAGUGAGGAAUAUUGGUCAAUGGGCGCGAGCCUGAACCAGCCAAGUCGCGUGAGGGAAGACGGUCCUAUGGAUUGUAAACCUCUUUUGUCGGGGAGCAAAAGACGCCACGCGUGGCCUUCCGAGUGUACCCGAAGAACAAGCAUCGGCUAACUCCGUGCCAGCAGCCGCGGUAAUACGGAGGAUGCGAGCGUUAUCCGGAUUUAUUGGGUUUAAGGGGUGCGCAGGCGGAAGGUCAAGUCAGCGGUAAAAUUGAGAGGCUCAACCUCUUCGAGCCGUUGAAACUGGUAUUCUUGAGUGAGUGAGAAGUAUGCGGAAUGCGUGGUGUAGCGGUGAAAUGCAUAGAUAUCACGCAGAACUCCGAUUGCGAAGGCAGCACACCGGCGCGAAACUGACGCUCAGGCACGAAAGUGUGGGUAUCGAACAGGAUUAGAUACCCCAGUAGUC